rnacentral:misc_RNA from 1 species
UUUUUUUUUUUUUUUUCAAACAUUAUAUGUUCAGGUGGCUUUGUGGGUCAAAUAAUUUCAAUUGCUUUAGGAUGUAUUUCAAUGAACUAUGUACGAUAUCCACUAUAAGGUUGGAGUUCCGUUAUUCUGGCAAGCCUAAACGUUUUCUAGGUGUUAUUAUAUAUGAAUGACUGGGUUUUAUUUUAAUGUAGAGUUGUAUGCCACAUUAGGAUAACAUCUACAGAAAAUAUGUUGUUGUAACCAUGGAUUUAAAUCGUAGUCACGAUCGCAGCUAACAGAGACAGGCCUACAACAGCCAUAACAUAAUGAUAAUGGCUUAUCGUUAUACAAAUUUUUUUGAUAAAUUGCAAAGUUCAUUAAAUGAAUAGAUAUUUAAAGAUAU